GUUCUCGAUUGUCAUCACUUCCGACUUUAUCUUAUAGAAAAGUUACUAAGCCGGAAACUUUCUCAUUAGCGGUAUGGAUUUUGUUGCUCAUCAAAUUGUUUGGUUCAACUUUUAAUUUUUGCAAGUGAAAGAAGGAAUAACCAUCCUUUCCAAAGAUUUUUUCAUAGAUCUGUUGUCGUAAAUACAUUUAAUGGAAAGAAUAAUAAGAGCUGAUAGUGGAAGCGGAGCAAUUUAGGAACCUCUGACUUGAAGAAAGCUAAUUUUUUGAAGGAAAAAUUUUUUUUAUUGCUCUUGAACAAAAUUUUUACAUGCCCUAUGUUGAACAGUUUAAUAAAAACACUAAAAUUUUCAUAACCUAAUGCUUGAUGAAAGAAGUUCAUACAAUCAGCUUAUAGCUGUUAACAAAAUUAGAACUUUUCAUUAUCACUCUAAAUAGCGCUGCUUAAUAGUCAAAUUAUUUUUGAACCAUUUAACAUGCAGUGUAUUGCAGUCUGAAUACAGUUAUAAGCUAAUCCACUCCUCAGGGGGUUUACCUUUUUCAGGUAAACACGGGCUCCACAACCCCGAGGUACUCCAGUGGUAUUUUUUGUCAGUUUUUUUUAUUUUGUUGUCUUUAAUAUAUGUAAUAUAAUAAUUUGUUCAACAAAGAUGCAGAAACAGCAAAUUGUACUUGGAAAUAUCAUGACAAAAUUUUUUUAAUUAGAAUAUUGACAAUAACUUGUACCUGAAAAACAGUACACUUUCUUAUUAUCCUGGGAAAUAAUUCAUCAAAAUUUCUUUAGUUUUAUCAAACAAAAGCUUAAAUCGUAUAUUUUAUUGUAUGGAACUCGGGCAGAAAUAUAUUAAAAGUAUUUGAUGUAUUUCUGUUUAAAGAAAGCAAAGGAAAAGAAUCGUUUGCUUUGAAAUUACAUACUUAGUUUAGUUUAUUUAUAAUGCUAAAACAAUAAAAAUAAAAUAUUUUAAUACUAACUGAGAGUUAGGUAAUAAUGUAUGUUAUAUUAAUAAUAUAUAAAAUUAUUUGGUUAAGUUCUGGAAUUUUUUAUGCAGAUAGUAACUCUAAAAAUAAAAAAAAAAUCAUUUAAAUCCCAUAUUAUUUGUAUUAACAACUUAUUAACGUUUGUUUCAAAGCUUAUAUUUAAAUUGAAGUGGAUUGAAAUAAAACGCUUAUAGUUAUAAAUAUUUAGUUUAAUCCGCUAGCUUCAUGAAUGUUUCAUUUAAAUUUUUAUAAAUUCUUUAAAAAAGAAAAGAAAGUAAUAUUUAUUUUGCCAGCUCCAUUUGACCUCUACUCGAUCACUCUUUUUUGAUCCUCCAGAAACUGUGUUCUCAAAUAGUUAAUUUUUUACAUUAUCCACAUUUGUGUUGAAGAUUUUUGCAAUAUCGUUAAGAGAUUUAUCUCUGAUAUUUCUGUCUGAGUAUGAUGGAAUAUUGCUAUCCAACAAUUCAGGCCUCUCCUUAUAUUCAACACCACACCUUGAUAUACCACAGGUGAUUUAUAUGCUUCUCCAAAGUAUGAUAUAUAGUAGCAAAAGCUUCCCGCUUCAUGUUUUUGAUAGAAUUCCGUAAACGCUCUAUCUGAAUUAGGAGCAUAUGAAUCUAUAGUUCUUGUCAAGCAUUCAAAAUCUGCGUAGAUCACGAGAGGUAUUUUGUGCCUGUGUCGAACAUUUUUGAAACACAAAUAUUUUUCGUUUUCUGCUGGCAUUAAAACUCGUACUGCGUCGUGCAUAUCACAAUUCAGUUUAUGAUUGUUCAUAAUUUUCACGGUUGAGAAAAACUGCAGGCAUCUGCGACAUAUAUACUUCUUUCCAUUGUGGGAUGAAUGCUGUGAUGUUAAAAGUUUGGAUAAAUUUUUUAUCCAACAAUAAUGAGCGGUAGUCAAUGAUGUUAAAUAUAAUAAGUCAACGUACACUUCUCUUUCAAUUUUAGUUAUAUGUAGAGGAAAUAAAGUAUUUUUCUCUAUAAGACCGUAUACGUUGAUGGAGAUAGUAUUUUGUUUUUCGAACUUUUUAAUACUUUCUAGCUUCAUUGGAAAUUCGAGACUCACGAAGUUUAGUUCAUCUUUAAAAGGCUCAUAGUUUGAAAUUCUAUAGCUGUGAUCACUUUGCGGGUGAAGUGCUGACAAAAUAGCCCACAUGAAACACUUAUUAUCAUAUUUAUUCUAAACAUUAAUGACUGCUUUUUUGUUUUCUAUGCAUGCUGGCAGUUGAAUGAAAGUCGAACCAUUCAAGGGAUUAUUCUUAUUAAUUCUAAUCUCUAAGAAAAGAAUUUCUGAUAAUGUCCAUCCACUAUCUUUUUCUUCGAACUCGGAGCUUUCCAUUAAAAGUUUAAAUUUUUACAGCUAUAUACACCAUAGAUUGUCAUGGUUAACCCUGGCUGAUUAACCAUCCAUGCACUACUAGCUGUAUUUAUACAGCUUUUGAAAGCCCUAAAUACAGUUCUUACAAGAGGCUGCAAUGAGAUGGGAAGGAUAACAUUACAAUACCAUUUUCCUUUGCAUAAUUAAGAACUUCAAUUGAAAUAUGAGACUCUUGAUUAUCUAAUAAAAGUAAAACUUUUCUAUCUUUUGAACAUCAAGUAUGUUUAACGAAAUGCUGAACGAAUUUUUUAAAAAUUCUCCGUCAUCCAUUCAGAUAUAUGAGAAGCACCAGCACAUCCAGGUGGGCCAUCACAUACAAAGUAAAGUACUGCUCGCUUAAAUAGUCUAUUAAGGGAACCCUCGCUGGGUACAGUUCGUUCGUUACCAGCUCUCUUUCGAAGUUCCGAGCAAUCCCUUGAACAUUGAGGAACAUGCACGACUCAUUGAAGUCUGGAGCGGACGAUAGCUCCGAUAUCUCUACGUCCACGAUUCUCUCCUAUGUGGCGGAACAAAACAAAUGCCAGGCAGUUGUUUAUGUCCUGCUCCGCUUCUGCUUACCGGCUGUAUAAGGACUUUUCUGCAGGCAGACUUCUCUUGGUCACCAUCUUGAACGUCUCCUUAAAGUCCCGGGACUUGUAUUUCAGGGCGAUGGAGCUGGAGUUCACGUCGUCGUAAACUUUUUUAAUAGCCCUCCACUGGGAGUAGGUGAUGUUAACUGGGAACUUGUGGACGCGUCCACUGCGGCACGUGUGCUCGUGCGUGAGGAUGACUUUCCCAUCAUCUGCCAUGAGGAGAUAGAACUCUCUCUUGUUGUGAAUGUUUACAGCCUCCAAGGCAAGAUUUAUUUCCACAACAUCAAAAAUCGAAGUAGGAGGACCAUUCUUAAAUACUACAGUGAACUGCUCUGGUGUAAUCGUAAGUCCAACUGUUGAAGGGUAGUAGUUGUCACCAUAGCGGUUAAACUUUCAGAUGUGUAUUGCUUUCUUUUUGGUAUUCACUCGCCAGCACAAAAAAGUUUUCCCCAAUAGGAUAAUAAUGUUCAGGAUAGCACCCCUCUUUAAACAAUCCUUUUCUGUUUCCUU